UACAGAGGUCCCGAGCGUUGUUCGGAUUCAUUGGGCGUAAAGGGUGCGUAGGCGGUCUUCUAAGUUUGAUGUGAAAUCCCGGGGCUCAACCCUGGAAUUGCAUUGAAUACUGGAGGACUGGAGUCCCGGAGAGGAAACUGGAAUUUACGGUGUAGCAGUGAAAUGCGUAGAGAUCGUAAGGAAGACCAGUGGCGAAGGCGAGUUUCUGGACGGGUACUGACGCUGAGGCACGAAGGCCAGGGGAGCAAACGGG
rnacentral:rRNA from 1 species